UCACACAGACCCUGCAUUGUGUUCUGUCAUUCAUAGGUUAUCAGGAUCAAUUCCAUCUUCACUGCAUAGUUAACAAAAAUCAAUGUUAGAUUUAAAACUGCAUUUUGUUGUUGACAGUGACAUGUUUGUAUCUUUAUGUGAAUAAAUGUUUCUUAGCUUCUCUGUGGAAAGACUAUGGUUAUAUCCCCUUAUCCUAAAUGUUUCUUUCUAGUUACUGUUUUAUUUUUUUUUAAUCAUAAAGCUUCAAUUAAAUAAUUUAUUCAUCUAUAUUCUUGGGAAUAGCAACCUUGAUUAUGUAACCUCUCAUCUUAAUUUAACCAUUCCAACAUUCCAAAUUUUGAUGAAUCUUCAAAACAUCAACGAAGCCCAUCUCUGGUGCAGUGCCAAUAAGCCAAGUGUGAUAUAACCAGUCUUUCCUAAAGCUGUAGCAAAUUCUUCCCUUUUUUUAAGCCCUUAAAGUUAUGUUUAUUUGUACCUGACCAUUACAUUUUAGUGAACUGUAUGCACAGAUCCCUAAGUCUAACCUGGCCUCCAUUGUUCUGGUUUUUAGCAUUCAUUAUUCAUUCCUGAAUGCUGACCUGUCCAGUGACAUGAUGGAAAAACUCAAGAAUGGUCUUCUUUGAACCAAAACUGCAUGACCUCGUGCCAACUUACACAUUGUGACACAGCUCUAGGGCAGUUGGGACUUGAACCUGGACCUUUGGGUCGAGAGGUAAAAUGGAUAUUUUCAAUGCACCUAAUCAGCAAUGUUAUUAUACACCUCUGAAGCAGAUGGGAUUUGAAAUCAGCCCUCCUUGUUCAGUGGUAUAAUUCCAGCUCCUUGGUGCCUCAUUCAAUCUUUUGCAGUCAUGAUGUCAAGGGCAGUCUCUCACAUCACCUGUGGAA